GGAGAACCUGCGGUUGGAUCACCUCCUUUCUAGAGUACAAAUAGAUAUUCUCUCACAAGAUAUCUAUAAGAAAGAUAUAAGUAUUAAUAAUUAUACUUAUAGUGUAAUAGACAACUAACUCAAUCAUCCUUGUUUAGUUUUCAGAGAUUGUUUUAAGAUUAAUAAUAGAGCUAAAGGGGAAUUAGCUCAGCUGGGAGAGCGCCUGCUUUGCACGCAGGAGGUCAGCGGUUCGAUCCCGCUAUUCUCCACCAUAAGGGCCUGUAGCUCAGCUGGUUAGAGUGCACCCCUGAUAAGGGUGAGGUCAUAAGUUCAAGUCUUAUCAGGCCCACCAUGAAAAAUAUAAAAAGUAUUUUUAUAUAAAGCUUAUAUAAUACAUAGUUUAACAAAGAAGUAUUUUAUAAUAAAAACAACUAUAUUUUAAAUGAUAGUUUUUUUAUAAAAUUAUCUUUUAAUUUUAUAAAAAUAUAAGUAUUAUUAGAUAAAAUACCAAACUUUAUUUUUUUUAUUAUAAAGUUUAAUUAGAGAGUUAAACAAUAAAGUUGAUAAAAAUCAAUUAUCUCUUAUAUGUUAAUUUUCUAAUUAGAUUUUAUAAUCUAAAUGUUAUUUAAAUUAUCAUUGUUAAAAGUCACAAAAAGUUUUAAUAAAAUAAAACAAUUUUACAGGACUUGUUAAAGCUUUAUAUCUAUAUAAAUAUAAAAGCAAAUCUUUUAAGUUUAACUGUUAUCAAAUUUAAAAGUUUAAAGAUUAUACACGAAACAAUAAAGUUUUUAAAACUUACUUUAUAGUUUAUAAUCUCUUUCCGUCUUAAUUUAUAUGAUAUAAACAUUAUAAAAUAAAUCAAUUUUAUCUUUAACAAGGAAGUGAUGCGAAUUAGAAUAUCAACAUAAUAAAUAAUUCUAAUAACUUCAAAGACAAGCAACUUUAUUAAGUUUAAGUAUUAAAUAAUUUUAAUCAAAUUUAAUUUUUAUUUUUACGAGUAAAACCUUAAUAUUGAUUUACGACAAACGAAGUUUGGAGUAAAUCUUAAUAACUUUAGAGGUUUGCAAAGGGCGUAGCCCUUGCUCGUAAAGACUAGCUUUGCUAGUCUGCGAAGUCAAAAAAGGUAAGCUACUAAGAGCGAAUGGUGGAUGCCUUGGUUGGUAGAGGCGAUGAAAGACGUGCUAGACUGCGAUAAGUCUCGGGGAGUUGUCAAGGAGCUUUGAUCCGGGA
rnacentral:misc_RNA from 1 species